GCUCAGCAGAUCUAGGAGCACCAUGGCUGCUGCCUGUGUGCAUCAGCAGAGAAAUGAUCCAUCACACCACCCAAAUCAGGUUUAAACUCAAGUUGUGAGUCCCUUCUACUUAAGACUCCUGGUGGAUUCAACGGUGGUCUCAAUUGACAGUAUAGAAAUCUGCCAUAUCUCCUCUGCACAGUGCUAAUGCUGACUGGGCAGUUCUAGGCCUUCUCUGUGCCUGAAACUUUGCUGGACUUGCUGAGAAACACUGCCUGAACUGCCACAUAUGGGGUUGCAGCAGAUGUCUCAGCUGAAAUUAACUCGUCUCUCCUGAGAAAUGGAGCUUCUCCAUACAGACUGCCAGUUGAGUUACCAGCUUCGUGAAAGAAGAGUGGGCACUACGAGAAACACAGUCCAACUCCCACCCCCUGUCUGCAUGCUCCAGCCACUUACUUUGGCCUUGCUGUGGGACACUGCCACCCCUGGGGGAACUGAUUCAACACUAAGUAGAAGAAAAUAAGCCCAGCAAAGAAGUGGGAGAUCUUCUUCUAUUUUGUGAGAUAAAUUGCCACAGCAAGGGUCCCAGGAGCAUCACAGCUAGCACAAGAGAAGGGAUGACACUGCAUGAAUUGAAGUAAGAGAGGAGGGAUGGGGAAUGAGACACCCUCUCUAACUUCUUGUGGGAGUGAAUAUGUAACUGUAAAUUAGUUGCCUGGGGAGAUUUUGGGCAGAGGAGUGAAGAGCCUGAUGUAUUGAAGUGCCUAAAAUGUUAGGCAGUUCUGGAAAGCAGACUAAGCAGAUCGCUGCUGGUCUAUGUCAGGCUUAGAUGCUGAAGUUCCAACUUUGGCAGAGUUGGAGCAAGCCAGAUCCCACCCUGAAAGAUCUGCUUAUAAA
ensembl:lncRNA